rnacentral:rRNA from 1 species
AGCGUAGACGGUGUGGCAAGUCUGAUGUGAAAGGCAUGGGCUCAACCUGUGGACUGCAUUGGAAACUGUCAUACCUGAGUGCCGGAGGGGUAAGCGGAAUUCCUAGUGUAGCGGUGAAAUGCGUAGAUAUUAGGAGGAACACCAGUGGCGAAGGCGGCUUACUGGACGGUAACUGACGUUGAGGCUCGAAAGCGUGGGAGCAAACA